GCUGGCCUUUUGUAAUCUUACCUUCUCUAAUUAUAGCUACAUCAGUACCUACGGUCUCAAUUUAGUUGCCCAUUCACUCUCUUCAAAGUUCAAGCCAGAAGCCAACCGAGGCAGAAAGGGGGAAGUAAGAAAUCCUACAGAGCAUAUGCAGGACCAAGAACAACAAUGACCAUCUUUGAUCCAAACAAAUUUCAAAUACCAUCUGAACAUAU
rnacentral:lncRNA from 1 species